UGCGCACCCGAGGCCCCGCCCUCCGGGGCUCCGGCCCCCGGGUUCCCGCACGUGCACCUUCUGCGGGCCCGGGGUCCGGCGUCCGGAGCCUCCCGAGCCGGCGCUCCGCGCGGGUCGUGGGUGCUCGGUCUGAGGAGUUCCCUUGAAAGGAUCUUUGUUCAUGGAGGCUAAGACUGGUGAAUGAAGUUUUGAUGAGGAACAGGCACAUGGUUGGAAUAUGUUCCAGAAGUAAGAAGAGGAAAACCAGAACUUUACAGUGAUGACAUCGAGUGCACAAAAGAGAUAACAGCAAUAGUGAAGUGACUACCAGACCAAAAUCUAAGGGCAAGAAGAUUCCAAAAGCUCAGUAUCCAACCACCAUGGGAACCCAGUCCAGAGGCACAAUGGAGAGGAAGCUGCCGAAGCAAGCGUUUGGAAAGGAGCAGAGAUCACAGCAGGCAAAGCAGCCAUGAAGAU